rnacentral:tRNA from 1 species
GGUUGCUCCCUGGGGGCAAUUUGUCUUGAAAACAAAUUAAAAGUGUUCGAUCCACUUCGCAACCU